rnacentral:rRNA from 1 species
UACGGAGGGAGCUAGCGUUGUUCGGAAUUACUGGGCGUAAAGCGCGCGUAGGCGGCUGCUCAAGUCAGAGGUGAAAGCCCGGGGCUCAACCCCGGAACUGCCUUUGAAACUAGGUAGCUAGAAUCUUGGAGAGGUCAGUGGAAUUCCGAGUGUAGAGGUGAAAUUCGUAGAUAUUCGGAAGAACACCAGUGGCGAAGGCGACUGACUGGACAAGUAUUGACGCUGAGGUGCGAAAGCGUGGGGAGCAAACAGG